AUGGUCUUCGCUCUUUGUGCAAUGCGCCCUUCCCCCUUGCCGAACCACAAGGGGCUGAUGGCCCCAUAUGUGAUCGUAUUCUGCCACAACAAUGAUGGACAACCGGUGCUAUUUGACGAUGUCGACAACGAGGAUGAAGAUGGCCAGAGGAGGUACAAGAGACAAAUCCUUAGGGAGCUUUAUGCGGGAAUGCGUAACAAGCGUAUUAGGACCUGGAACAGGGGCUUUGGAUUCCCAUUUUGCAAUCAAAAUCUUCAUGGCGCAUAUCAAAGUGUUCCGGUGCAUGCAAGAGGACGAGUCGUUGGCUCCUUCAGGCAGAAGUAUUCUCGCAGGGUGGUGCACGCCGUGUACACUGAGUACCUCGAGAAGCUUCACGAUCAUGCCGGCAGAUGA
rnacentral:rRNA from 1 species